rnacentral:rRNA from 1 species
GUGGGGAAUAUUGGACAAUGGGCGAAAGCCUGAUCCAGCCAUGCCGCGUGUGUGAAGAAGGUCUUCGGAUUGUAAAGCACUUUAAGUUGGGAAGAAGGGCAGUAAGUUAAUACCUUGCUGUUUUGACGUUACCGACAGAAUAAGCACCGGCUAACUUCGUGCCAGCAGCCGCGGUAAUACGAAGGGUGCAAGCGUUAAUCGGAAUUACUGGGCGUAAAGCGCGCGUAGGUGGUUUUGUAAGUUGGAGGUGAAAUCCCCGGGCUCAACCUGGGAACUGCCUCCAAAACUGCAUGACUCGAGUACGGUAGAGGGUAGUGGAAUUUCCUGUGUAGCGGUGAAAUGCGUAGAUAUAGGAAGGAACACCAGUGGCGAAGGCGACUACCUGGACUGAUACUGACACUGAGGUGCGAAAGCGUGGGGAGCAAACAGGAUUAGAAACCCGUGUAGUCC